rnacentral:rRNA from 1 species
AGAGUUUGAUCCUGGCUCAGGAUGAACGCUGGCGGCGUGCUUAACACAUGCAAGUCGAACGGGGCGGCGGGGAGGAAUCCCUUCGGGGAGGAGACCCCGCGGCCUAGUGGCGGACGGGUGAGUAACGCGUGGGCAACCUGCCCCAUACCGGGGGAUAACAGCCGGAAACGGCUGCUAACACCGCAUAAGCGCUGGGGGCCGCAUGGCACCCGGCGGAAAACUCCGGUGGUAUGGGAUGGGCCCGCGUCUGAUUAGGCAGUUGGCGGGGCAGCGGCCCACCAAACCGACGAUCAGUAGCCGGCCUGAGAGGGCGGCCGGCCACAUUGGGACUGAGACACGGCCCAGACUCCUGCGGGAGGCAGCAGUGGGGAAUAUUGCACAAUGGGGGGAACCCUGAUGCAGCGACGCCGCGUGGGCGAGGAAGUAUUUCGGUAUGUAAAGCCCUAUCGGCAGGGAAGAAGAAAUGACGGUACCUGAAUAAGAAGCACCGGCUAAAUACGUGCCAGCAGCCGCGGU